CCUACGGGAGGCAGCAGUGAGGAAUAUUGGUCAAUGGGCGAGAGCCUGAACCAGCCAAGUCGCGUGAAGGAAGAAUGUCCUAUGGAUUGUAAACUUCUUUUGUAAGGGAAUAAAAAAGAUUACGUGUAGUCUAUUGUAUGUACUUUACGAAUAAGGAUCGGCUAACUCCGUGCCAGCAGCCGCGGUAAUACGGAGGAUCCGAGCGUUAUCCGGAUUUAUUGGGUUUAAAGGGUGCGUAGGCGGACCCAUAAGUCAGUGGUGAAAGUUUGCAGCUCAACUGUAAAAUUGCCAUUGAAACUGUGGGUCUUGAGUGUAAAUGAGGUAGGCGGAAUGUGUUGUGUAGCGGUGAAAUGCUUAGAUAUAACACAGAACACCAAUUGCGAAGGCAGCUUACUGGGAUACAACUGACGCUGAGGCACGAAAGCGUGGGGAUCAAACAGGAUUAGAUACCCUGGUAGUCCACGCAGUAAACGAUGAAUACUAGCUGUAUGNGAUAUAUAUAUGUGUCGAAGACGAAGACGUAAGUUAGUUACCGUACCGUACGGGUAGGUAACGGUUCGUCGAAGAAGUAGUUAACGUUACGAAGGAAGUUAGUUACGGCGUUGAGACGUUGCGACGGACGACGACGAGGGAGGAGG
rnacentral:rRNA from 1 species